GUCUUUAACAACUUCCUUUGUUUGCUUGUGUUGAAUAAUUUUGGUGUUUGUAUUUACAGAUCAUUCUCGAUUGUUUGGCUCGCCUCACUCACAGCUGCAGGGGAUAUGCCUAAUUUACAGUGCAGGCCUGCAUGUACCAGGAGUUGAUUGUGUGGGAGUUGCAGACUGUGCCUGACAUCAUGAUCUCGAUGCAAGGAAGUAAAUGUAACUUGAAUUGUUUCUGUAUCCAGGCUGUGAAUGGAGUGUCAUUUUAUGUAGUGAACUUAAUUAAAUGUGUGUGAAACACUGAAGGGGGAGAUGGAGCAACUACUCAUGUAAUGUGACUUUCUGCCAACAUUCAAAAGUACACACAUAGCAGGUAGCAAAAUGUAAUCUCAGGUGAACAAAGUCGAUGGCUUCAAGGAUGAUUUUCUAUGUUCGUGUUAAUAAAUAAUGAUUUGUA